rnacentral:lncRNA from 1 species
CUGUCUCUCACCCUCCUCUCCCUAAGCUUGGGGCAUGUUUCUCUGGAUUACAUAUUUUUUCAUUAUGUAAACACAAUAAAUCAUGUCAACAGCCUGUGCUAACCAGCCUCCACACCUCACUGUGACACUUGCUUCUGGUGAAAAUUGUUUCUUCUUUUGCUAAAGUGACUGUAUUCUAUGAAUACCUAUUUCAAGUAUAACUUCUAAAGGGGGAACUGUUAAGGUCACAGUCUGAUGGAUAUAACAAACAUGCAAACCCUUAAGACAAGCUGAGAUUUAAUUUGCAGUGCACACACGCACACACAUACACAGAGAUGUCAUCUUAGUGUGUUGGAAAGCACCGUUGGGUAAAAUUAUGAAAUGUAUCUUAGGAAGUAAAGGACUGUAUGAUUGAAGAUUACGAUCAUUUUUCCAUUCAACAGCCUAAUGGGUGGCAGGCACUCCAUUAGGUACUAAGAACAUGACAGAGAAGAGGACCAUGUAUACCCUCCUGGAUUGCAAGUUUAGCUGCUGAGACAGACAAUUGCCCAAAUGACCAGGAGGCAUCAGUAGGAGACGGCUGCUGCUGUUCCAGUCUCUCCUUAGGCAGACUUGAGUUUCUACCCACUCUUCCCAAGCAGCCGCCCCUCCGCACCCGAGCGAGCCAAAGACCUGGCGGGCUGAGUACUCACUGCGCGCUGGACACAUGCUGAGCCGGCACUGCAGGGACACAGGGCGAGCCGCUGGAUGCAGACCUGUGGCCGCGGCAGUUGGGCUUAUCUUGCCCAUGAAGUUGCCUCUGAAGAACCAAGUCCAACUGUGUAUGCUGAGAGAUGUCUGGCUACUUCCUGAUUGACAGUUCUGGCAAGGUGGCAUUGGGCCCUGGCUUUUCCUCUGGAGGCAUCAUCACUUAUAGGAAAAUGUCCCCUGAAGUCCAAGGAUCAAAGCUGCUGGAACACUGAGAAGCUGAACAAAGGAGAACUGUUUCUCAUCAAACCCAGACUUCCAGACUUCCAAUAGGGUAGAAUGAGCAAGUCAGCAAAUCAUCUUCCUUGGAAACAGUGAUAAAACUAGAUGACAUUGUCAACAACAGCCAUUUCAGAAAUCUAGAAAAUGACCAAAGGCAAACAACAAACUGAGAAGCAUUUUUUUUUCCAUGAAAAAUCGCUCUAUUUCUGCAAAAAUAGUGGGAGUCUAUGGCUUCUCAUCCAGGGCUGUUUCUCUCCCCACCCCAGCUCAGUCAGUACAAAGGUUCUGGCAGCAUGAGGCAGACUGAACAGACCUGAAGUUUGAUUGCUGGAAGAAACUGACUCCAGGUUUGGCAGAGGGUGAGAAACCUACUCCCAGCCAUGUUGUCUGGUGACACAGUGACCUUAGGGACAAGUGAAUAGGGAAGGCCAGUGAUUCAUUAACCUGAGGUUGCAGUCCUGGUUGGGGAAAGCAUCAGAAUGGCAGAUAAGCUAGAAAUUUAGUAGGGAUAUGCUGGAAAUGAGACAACCCCAAAGGGGCUUGACCCCAAAGUUGUCCACACACCCCAGCUGCCUUCUGAGCAGAUGUAGGGAGAGACCAGAGAAGGCCUAGGCUAUCCACACAUCUCUGGCUAACCCAGGCUGUAAACCUGUGGAGGAGACACAAGAGGUGGAUUGAUUGCUAAUGGGCAUAUGGGGGAUCUUACUGGUUGAUAGGAACAUUCUCAAAUUGGAUUGUGGUGAUGCUUGCACAACUCUAAGUUUAUCCCAAAUUGCUAAAUUUUACACUAAAAAGGGGUGAACUUUAGGGUAUAUAAAUUAUACAUCAAUAAAGUUGUCAUAAAGCAUUCACAUUC